UACGAAGGGGGCUAGCGUUGCUCGGAAUCACUGGGCGUAAAGCGCACGUAGGCGGAUUGUCAUAGUCGAGGGUGAAAUCCUGGAGCUCAACUCCAGAACUGCCUUCGAUACUGGAGCCUUGAGUCCGGGAGAGGUGAGUGGAACUGCGAGUGUAGAGGUGAAAUUCGUAGAUAUUCGCAAGAACACCAGUGGCGAAGGCGGCUCACUGGCCCGGUACUGACGCUGAGGUGCGAAAGCGUGGGGAGCAAACAGGG
rnacentral:rRNA from 1 species